rnacentral:rRNA from 1 species
AUUGAACGCUGGCGGCAGGCCUAACACAUGCACGUCGAGCGGAGCGGCGGACGGGCGAGUAAUGCCUACGAAUCUGCCUGGUAGUGGGGGAUAACGUCCGGAACCGGGCGCUAAUACCGCUUACUUUCAGCUGCGCCUCGGUCGGAUUAGCUAGUGGGUGGGGUAAAGGCCUACCAAGGCGACGAUCCGUAACUGGUCUGAGAGGAUGAUCAGUCACACUGGAACUGAGACACGGUCCAGACUCCUACGGGAGGCAGCAGUGGGGAAUAUUGGACAAUGGGCGAAAGCCUGAUCCAGCCAUGCCGCGUGUGUGAAGAAGGUCUUCGGAUUGUAAAGCACUUUAAGUUGGGAGGCGUUACCAACAGAAUAAGCACCGGCUAACUUCGUGCCAGCAGCCGCGGUAAUAC